GCUACAAGGCUUUGGCCCACCAAGUGUGUACCAUGCUGCUAUUGUCAUCUUCCUUGAAUUCUUUGCGUGGGGCCUUUUGACAACUCCAAUGUUGACUGUUCUACAUGAAACAUUUUCUCAACACACAUUCCUCAUGAAUGGUCUCAUUCAAGGUGUAAAGGGCCUGCUCUCUUUUUUGAGUGCCCCACUCAUUGGUGCCCUGUCUGAUGUGUGGGGGAGGAAGCCCUUUCUCCUCGGCACUGUAUUCUUUACCUGCUUCCCAAUCCCACUGAUGAGGAUCAGCCCAUGUUUAUGCAAAUACCGUAUACGUGAUAAACGUCCCUACAACAUGAUCUUUGGAAUGAACUAAGACAAAGGAAACUCUGAGGAAGGACCAUGGCCUGAGAGGUGGAAUUCAUCCUUCCGAGGACUGAGAUGAGGACGGAAAAUGAACCAUCGGGGGGAUUGACGGUGAAGAUGCUAAUACCUGCCCAGCAUCGACCCUAGUGCGGGUCCCAAGACCAUCCCCCUGUGCAGGCUCCACCACCGCUGUGCUAACUGGACCGCGGCAGAAGAGUGGGUGUGUGCCAGGUUUCUGCUGGGCCCUGCAGCUCCUCCCCCCAGCCCCAUGUGAUGUGCCCCUGGCCAUUGACACUCAGUUCGAGGGAAGGCACUGGGGUGUACACUCAAAGACCUAAACCCAGGGUGGGUGCGGUGGCUCACGUCUGCAAUCCCAGCACUUUGGGAGGCUGAGGCGGGUGGAUCACAAGGCCAGGAGUUCAAGACCAGCCUGCUUAACAUAGUGAAACCCCGUCUCUACUAAAAAAUACAAAAAAAUUAGCCGGGCAUGGUG
ensembl:lncRNA MFSD14CP major facilitator superfamily domain containing 14C, pseudogene